GCAAAAGAUGCUGGAUGCAAGCAGUGCUUUCCACACGAACGAAGACGAAGUGUUAGCAUCUCCUUCUGUUGGAAAUGUUCUUUGAUAUGCAAUGGCAAGCCCUUCCGUGUGUUCCAAAGGUAAAAUUUAAGCUCUAAAUUAAAGAAGACAUUUCUAGUCAGAAACAAGCAAAAAUAGUGAAUGCAGAGUAUCAGAAGCCCAAGGUACAGAAAUUAUGAGAAGUGUCGAAUGAUUUUAAGGAAAGAGUCGUAUUUAAAAAUGCAAGACCCUUUAGUGGAGGUCAAGCAAGUCAGUAUAGGUAGAAUACUCUGCAAAAUUAUGCGAGUGGGGGAUGUCAAACAAUGGGUCAGGAAAUGCAUUGUUUUUCUGCAAAACAAAAGCUGAUUGCCAUUACAUAAGUCACUUUAGCAUCAUGAUAAAUUCAGAAAUAAACCAAAAAACAAGACACGCAAAAAUAAACAAAACAUUUAAUGAUAUUUCAGCAGAACGUUUUGUUGGGCUAGUUGGUGCAUAUUACUGAAGUACUAUAGCGCCAAACAGACGACACAAGAAGAAGAGACACGGACAUAAGCGCUCGUCCGUGUCUCUUCUUGUGUCGUCUGUUUGGCGCUAUAGUACUUCAGCCAUUUAAUGAUGCUCUCUCCACACUGGGAUAAAUAAAAACAAACACAUUACAUCUAAUGUGGACAUAUCAGAUGCCUUGUGAAACAUAAAGGAACAAUUCAGUUUCGAGCUAUGGCACUUGCCGCAUAGAUGUGGGGGGGCCUUGCACCAAUAGUGAUAGUUACCACUGCAUUUAGAAAUUGAAAGCAUUCGUGCAGACAAAUUAUAUUUUUGGCUACCACUUCAAAUGCCUCCACCAAGUGUUACAAUGCUGCACGCAGCCAUACUAAGGAUCUCGCAACAACACCUGCAGGUAAAAAGCAGAAGCAGUCAAAGUGCUGGUGUGUUCUGGACACUAUGUUUGAAAACUUUUAGGCAAGAAGAGUGCAAGAAGCAGACAUAACUGCAUUUAUUUCCAUAAUUCCCCAUUUAAAUGGCCUUUUCUUUUUGCUUAGACAAUGCCUACGCCUAGCCACAGCAGCUCCCUCAUACAGACUCCGCAAUCCAAGAGGCCGUGGAGGCAAAUGCAGGCAGCCAGCACACCUCGAACAGCCACCUUGACUGCGGGUGUGUCACCCUAGUCGCCAAGGAAACAUUUGAGGGAAAGUGACAGGCAAUGUGAACAGCCACUCCUCCAUGUAAACAAUACUCUUUCUCUCGGAUGACUCCUACGCCUCACCACGCCAGCACACUUGUGCACAAAGAUGCCGCAGAGGCACGUGCAGGUCAGAGGCAAGAAGCAGUGGCACUGGUGUCGACAUUUACCCAAUUUCUUUUUCUUACACUGAGGCAGCCAGCACACCUCGAACAGCCACCUCGACUGCGGGUGUGUUGGUUGAUCCCUGUUGUACAUAUGCUCAUAAUAAACUUCAGUAAACUUGAACAUCAUAAUAAACUUGAAGGCAAAUGGUACAUUGAUGCAUUGUAUUUUUGAACAUUUAUUGUACACAUACAAUAUAUGUUAUACUUUGCAGUGCUACAGAGCGUAUUUUGAAGCUUCCCCCUAUAUUUUGCACCUUUAAUUACGUAUGUGUUGUGUGGCCCUCAAUGCAGUUCAUGUUGUAGCAGCUGCUUUGUCUGUGUAUCGCACAUUGGCUUAACCUCGUGAUAUCCACAUACUUCUCUCACAUAUACAAAAUAAAGUUCUAUGUAGCCCUCAGUGUUACAACAAAAAAUGAAAGUAAACAAUCCGAUCGUGGAAUUGUGUUUAUUACAGUGAUUCCUAUGACAGUUACUGACAAGUUGACAACUUGAACUGGUCAAUCCGUCCAUAGCCUCCUCUAUUUUUCAAAAAUAAAGGAGGCUAUGAUCCGUCAUGGCAAGGAAUUGUAUGUAUACAUAAAAAAAUGGGGCAUGUGUGCGUGAUUGUAGUGGGGGGUAUAGGAUUAAGGCGGUACGAAGAAAUGUACCAACACCGUCCUCUAGACCCAUUCCGUUAAGGUACCGUAACAAAGCCUAUUAUGCAUAAAGUUCAUACAACCAACUCUGAUAUUACUACACACGCCAGGCGACUCGAGCUACAUUUGCCAUGACGCAUUCGCGACUGCACCGGAUGCCCUCCAUAUUAUUCUCCUUAAUCAUGCUCACUGCACCGAAGCAAAAGAAAGAUCAUGGGCGCAGGUGCCUUUAAGGUAUCUCGACCUUGCGAGGCACUGCUGCGCGUGCCAGGGGAGCUGUCCGUGCGAACACUCUGGCACACACCUGCCGCGGACCCACCCUACAUACCGUUCUGCUUCGAGCUUUGAUCCCCCCACUGUCCCUUGGGUGCCCUGGAGUUCCUGCGCCGCCUGCUUUAUUACAAUCUCAGGCGCUCUCCUGAGACUUCCGUUUGUCGGUUACAUGUGCCCUACAGCUGGAUCAGUACUCAUAAUAACAAAAAAAAAACCCGAUCUAUCAUCGCGACGAUAGAUCACGAAAGCGGGUUUUGCAACAUACCGCGCCCGUGCGAAGAGAAUUACGGAACGCCAACGAGGAAUUGGACCACAGCUUCGAGCUCGUAACCUCGUCGAGUGACACUCCUGCAACAGGCGUGACCGCUGAAAACCGCAUACCGCCGGAAACUUCAACAGGAUCAUCCCUCGGUUGCAUAACUGCCACCUGUACGGCCAACAUGAACCACACCCACACCGUCCCGCAACAUAGAAUAAAGAACCAACUUGUAAAGCCCAAACACACGGCUGCACGCACACAUCUCGACACUACAAACGA